rfam:Camelus ferus unplaced genomic scaffold scaffold811, whole genome shotgun sequence.
GAGGGUAUAGCUCAGAGGUAGAACACGUGCCUAGCAUGCCCAAGGUCCUGGGUUCAAUCCCCAGUACCUCCA